UGCAGUCGAGCGGGCACCUUCGGGUGUCAGCGGCAGACGGGUGAGUAACACGUGGGAACGUACCCUUUGGUUCGGAACAACUCCGGGAAACUGGAGCUAAUACCGGAUAAGCCCUUCGGGGGAAAGAUUUAUCGCCAAAGGAUCGGCCCGCGUCUGAUUAGCUAGUUGGUGAGGUAACGGCUCACCAAGGCGACGAUCAGUAGCUGGUCUGAGAGGAUGAUCAGCCACACUGGGACUGAGACACGGCCCAGACUCCUACGGGAGGCAGCAGUGGGGAAUAUUGGACAAUGGGCGAAAGCCUGAUCCAGCCAUGCCGCGUGAGUGAUGAAGGCCCUAGGGUUGUAAAGCUCUUUCGGCGGGGACGANAAUGACGGUACCCGCAGAAAGAAGCCCCGGCUAACUUCGUGCCAGCAGCCGCGGUAAUACGAANGGGGCUAGCGUUGCUCGGAAUCACUGGGCGUAAAGGGCGCGUAGGCGGCCAUUCAAGUCAGGGGUGAAAGCCUGUGGCUCAACCACAGAAUUGCCUUUGGUACUGNUUGGCUAGAGACCGGAANANGUAAGUGGAACUGCNAGUGUAGAGGUGAAAUUCGUAGAUAUUCGCAAGAACACCAGUGGCGAAGGNGGCUUACUGGUCCG
rnacentral:rRNA from 1 species